CAAUAGCGUAUAUUAAAGUUGUUGCAGUUAGAACGCUCGUAGUCGGAUUUCGGGGCGGGUCGACCGGUCUGCCGAUGGGUACGCACUGGCCGACGCGUCCUUUUUGCCGGAGACCGUCCCUACUCUUAACUGAGCGGGGUCGGGAGACGGCACUUUUACUUUAAAAAAAUCAGAGUGUUUCAAGCAGGCAGCUCGCUCUUGCAUGGAUUAGCAUGGGAUAAUGAAAUAGGACUUUGGUGCUAUUUUGUUGGUUUCGAACACCGAAGUAAUGAUGAGAAGGGACAGUCAGGGGCACUCGUAUUCCGCCGAGAGAGGUGAAAUUCUCAGACCAGCGGAAGACGAACCACUGCGAAAGCAUUUGCCAGGGAUGUUUUCACUGA
rnacentral:rRNA from 1 species